AGUGCAGAGUGACACAGACAGGCGACAGCGUCGCUGAGCACCAACUUCUAUUCCACGGAGGCAGACAGCGAAAACCAUUUCAUAACCAUGGCAAGGCAUGAGAGAAGCACAGGGUAGCUGCAAAGUUUUGGAAAAGACCUCUGCAACAACUGGAAGCACAGUGUACCCAAGUGAAUCUAUGUGCCUAACAUGGCUUGCAUGCUCCCAGCUUCUGCACGUGAUGCAUCUGCUAUUAACAUUCAGAGAUUCACCCUGAAAAUGAAGGCAACUGUUUGGAGAACAAUGUAAAAUGAUGAGAAUAGACCAUCCUAUGAC
rnacentral:lncRNA from 1 species